UUACAAGGAAGGAGUCGGUCCUCCGUUUCAGCUUUUCUCUCUAGAAGGAUUUAGCCUUGGCAUUUCUGGUGUUGUAAACGCAGGACUUAAAAAAAAGC
rnacentral:lncRNA from 1 species